rnacentral:rRNA from 1 species
GACGAACGCUGGCGGCGUGCCUAAUACAUGCAAGUCGAACGAAGCUGUUUUAACUGGUGCUUGCACCGACUUAAACAACUGAGUGGCGAACGGGUGAGUAACACGUGGGUAACCUGCCCCAAAGCGGGGGAUAACAUUUGGAAACAGAUGCUAAUACCGCAUAACCACAGAAACCACAUGGUUUCUGUGUCAAAGAUGGUUUCGGCUAUCACUUUGGGAUGGACCCGCGGCGUAUUAGCUAGUUGGUAAGGUAAUGGCUUACCAAGGCAAUGAUACGUAGCCGAACUGAGAGGUUGAUCGGCUACAUUGGGACUGAGACACGGCCCAAACUCCUACGGGAGGCAGCAGUAGGGAAUCUUCCACAAUGGACGAAAGUCUGAUGGAGCAACGCCGCGUGAGUGAAGAAGGUUUUCGGAUCGUAAAACUCUGUUGUCAGAGAAGAACGUGUGCGAGAGUAACUGCUCGUGCAGUGACGGUAUCUGGCCAGAAGGCCACGGCUAACUACGUGCCAGCCGCCGCAGUAA